rnacentral:rRNA from 1 species
GACGAACGCUGGCGGCGUGCUUAACACAUGCAAGUCGAACGAAGUGGCGAACGGGUGAGUAACGCGUAAUCAACCUGCCCUUCAGAGGGGGACAACAGUUGGAAACGACUGCUAAUACCGCAUACGGAAGGAGGGGAUUGCGUCUGAUUAGCUAGUUGGAGGGGUAACGGCCCACCAAGGCGAUGCUCAGUAGCCGGUCCGAGAGGAGGACCGGCCAACUUGGGAAUGGGAACCGGCCCAAACUCCUACGGGAGGCGGCAGUGGGGAAUCUGCCGAAAUGGACGGAAGUCUGACGGAGCAACGCCGCGUGAGUGAUGACGGCCUUCGGGUUGUAAAGCUCUGUUAAGCGGGACGCGGUACCGGAAUAGAAAGCCACGGCUAACUACGUGCCAACAGCCGCGGUAAUUC